rnacentral:lncRNA from 1 species
GAAUUUAGCUCAGUGGUUUCGCUGCCUGCUGCGGAAGCACAAGGACACGAGUUUGAUCCCCGGUACCAAAAAAAAAAAAAAAGUAACCUUUGAGAAAGGAUGAAUGAAUGAUCCUUUCCGGGAAUAUUUGGGGUUUGGGGAGGUGGGUGAGUAUUGGGAAUGGAACCCAGGAUCUUACACUAGUUGGGCAAGUAAGUCCUCCACCACUGAGCUACACUGCCAGCCCCUAAUUUUUUUUUUUUUUGGUACCAAGGAUCGAACUUGGGACCUUGCGCUUUUGAGGCAGGCAGAGGAACCACUGAGCUAAAUCCCUGGCCCACAGCCCCUAAUUUUUAAUGUUCCUAUCUACCUUCAUGUCUUUUCUUUGUUGCACUUUGUUUCUCUGCUUUGCUUCAGUCUCUUUUAGGUGAUCCUUGGCUGUGAGAUCGUGGUAAACAUUGAGAAUAGCCAGGCACAGUGGCAUACAUCUGUAAUCCCAGCGCUCAGAAGGCUGAAACAGGAGAAUCACCAUGAGUUCAAGGCCAGCCUGGGCUACAUGGCAAGACCUUGUCUCAGAAACAAAAAAAAAACCAGUGAGAGUUCCAAACUUAGUAGAGUGGGCUGAGUUGUAGCUCAGUGAUAAAUUGGUUAGAACAAAAAUCCCAGAGCACAACUGCUGACAGCAGACAAAAGCAGGCUCCUUUGGGCUCAUGAAAAGAUUCAGGAGUAGAAAAGCAAUCAGAGGAGGAGAAUCAGAGGGGAACAAAAAGAAGUUUUGGUCCCAGCACUCAGGAGGCUGAGGCAAGAGGACUGAGAGAUCCAGGCCAGCCUGAGCUACAUAGCAAGACCUUCUAUCAAAAACUUUUUUAAAAAGCACAUUUAUGGGAGAUUAAAGAAGACAUUCAAGGGACAAUCUGGAGUCCAAGAAUACUGCUUUCAGAUGAAGUGCAAGAUUCAGGGAAAGAUACUGUGAUAAUAAUAUAAGCCAAUAUGUGAGAGUUUAGACCUUGAAAUAAAUGGAUUUUUCUCUUCAGUCCUGGAAUUGAACCCAGGACCUCUGUGUAAGGCUAUGCUGUACCACUGAGCUACAUCCUCAACCCAAAAUAGUUAUGAUUUUGGGGAGUUUAUUGGGGGGGUUGAGACAGGGUCUCACUAUGUAGUCCAAGCUGGCCUCAAACUCACAGCGAUCCUCCUGCCUCAGCCUCCUGAGUGUUGGGAUUACAGACAUACACCACCAUGCCUGGCCAGUUUUUAAAAAUAAAAUACAAAUGACUAAAAUUGACUAAAAGAAAUGGAAAAUUUGGAUAGACCAACUAUUCAGGUAGAUCAAAUUAUGUGGAUAGGAAAGAGCCAUCAAAAGUCUAGGGCCAGGGAUUUAGCUCAGUGAUUCUGCUGCCUGCCUCGCAAGCGCAAGGUCCCAAGUUUGAUCCCUGGUACCAAAAAAAAAAAAGUCAUACCCCCCAAAUUUCAGCUCCAGUUGAAUAAUGUGGAGAAUUUCCAGUAAAUCUUCAAGAAAGAUAAUAGGUAGUUUUACAAUCUAGAAUCUAGGGUAUGAGAAAAGCUCAGAAACAUGGUUUGUUGUCUAAAAGCCCAGUACAGGGCUGGGGAUUUAGCUCAGUUGUGCCACAUCUGCCUGGCAAAUGCAAGGUCCUGAGUUCUAUUCCCAGUAGCAAAAAAAAAAAAAAAAGCCCAGUAUAACUAACUCCCUAUCCGAGCUUGUCCAACUGAAUGUUUUUAAAAUGUACAUACCAAACUCACAAAUACUGAUUUUAAGACUGAAAAUAAAUCAUAAGUAGAUAAUCUAUCUGUGCAUUAAAACAAAGAGGCAAAGUCAAAGGUAUAUUAAAAUCUGAUGGGCUGGGGUUGUAGCUCAGUGGCACUGCACCUGCCUGGCAAACACAAGGUCCUGAGUUUGAUCCCUGGUUCUGCAGAAAAAAAAGAAAGAAAGAAAAUAAACAGAAAGAACUCAAUAAAUAAUUCCUAUUGUUUAAAAAAAAAAUUUGAGUUCGAUCCCCAGUACAAAAAAAAAGAAAAUGUGAGAAAAUGUGUUGUGUAAUUUAUUAAUAGGUGAAUGAGAAAAAAUCAUGACUGUCUUGAUAGAGACCAAAAAGGCAUUAGAUGAAAUCCAACAUCUAUUUCUGAUCUAACAUUUUCAGAAACAGUAACAUCUUUGCCAACUUCAAAUAGAUGGAUGUUGACAUCAUUGAUGAUAGAAUUAAUAGCAAAUAUCAUACCUAAAAAAUAUAGCAGAUGCAGCCCCAUUGAAAUCAGAAAUAAGACAAAAGUGCCAAAUGACAUCUGUCUCUGGUUAAAGCCAAAGCAGGCAUGAAUCUCAGUCUACGGACUCAGGAAAGAAAUAAGGCUUUCCAAUUUUUUUGUUUUUUAAAAAUUCCAUUGAGUCACCAUUCCGCCAGGUGAUGGAAAAUUACUCUUGAUCACUAUGGGCAUGUCCCCUCCUGCCAGCUUUGUCAUCUCAUCUGGUGCAAAGGUGUCACAUAGCGUAGCAGGCGAGGCCUCCUGAGAAGAGAAGCAUCUGACCCUUGGGUGUCCGCUCAGGGUUGGCUAAGAUGUAGUUUGUCUCCAACUGACUUUGACCUUGGGAGCUGCUGUGUUGUCCUUGUUCUCAGCUGUGAAUUUCCUUCAGGUCUGAUCUUGCUUCUCUGAAUCUAUAGACUUGUAGUCUAAAGAAGCAUCUCCCACACAAUCUGUGGUUAAGGGCCAGUUCUCCAGUUGUCACGGAUUAACGUCAGUACUGUUUACUGUUUGGUAAGCGGGUUGGUCAGUCAUGUAACUGUGUAUUGCACCCACAUCUAGAGAUUCUCGCUCUCAGUGACAAACUGCUCAGGUACCAGCAGUGGCCCAGAGGCCACACUGAGUAAGCUGAUGUGUGGGCUUUGUCUCUUCCCUGUCUGCUGUUCCAAAUCUGAUAACAACUUUAAACUUGACUUCCUUUCCCUCCAUUUUGUCAUGUCAUCCCUUGCCAGGGCCACCAGCCACAGAAACCCUGGAGAGAAGUGGUCAUGAGGUCCCAGGAAAUAGUGGAAAUGGGCAUUUUAUCAGCUAACAUAGCAAGUUUCAUUCUUGCUACAGAAAUGAGAAGUAUAGCUGGGCGUGGUGGUGCACGCUUGUAGUCCCAGCACUCUGGAGGCUGAGGCAAGAGGAUUACGGUGAGCUCAAGGCCAGGCUGAGCUACAUACUUGUCUCAAGAAAGAGCCAGGUGUCUGGGGAUUUAGCUCAGUGGUUCUGCCGCCUGCCUUGCAAUUGCAAGGUUCUGAGUUCAAUCCCUGAUACCAAAAAAAAAAAAACACAAAGGAAACAGCCACGUGUGGUGGCACAUGCCUGAAAUCCUAGCACUUGGCAGGCUGAGGCAGGAUGAUUGCCACCAGUUUGAGGCCAGCCUGGGCUACACAGUGAGACCCUGUCUCAAAAAACCAAAUAAAUAGGGCCAGGGAUUUAGCUCAGUGGUUCUGCCGCCUGCCUUGCAAGCACAAGGUCCCAAGUUCGAUCCUGGUACCAAAAAAAUAAAUAAAAGGAAAGCCACAUGUGGCGGCACAUGGCUGUAUCCCAGCACUCAGGAGGCUGAAGCAGGAGGAUCACCAUGAGUUUGAGGCCAGCCUGGGCUACAUAGUUCAAGGCUAGCCUGAAUUACAUAGCAAGACCCUGCAUCAAAAAAACAAAAAAAAAAAAAAGAAGGAAGGAAGGAAAGACUAGAGUGGUAGCUCAGUGCAAAGGCCUUGGGUUCAAUCCCCAAUACUGAAUUUAAAAAAGAAAAACAUAUAAAACAAAAUAUUUGAAGACCAGGUUGAUAGGAAGGUACUGAAUAUAAUUGAAGAAAAUCAUAAAACCUUGCUGAGAUACCAAAAAAGAUUAUUUUAUUUUAGUUUCUUUUUUUUUUGGUACCGGGAUCGAACUCAGGUCCUUGCGCUUGCAAGCCAGGCAGCGGAACUACUGAGCUAAAUCCCUGGCUAUUUUAUUUUUUUGACACAGGGUUUCACUAUGUAGUCCAGGCUGGCCUUGAACUCACUAGGUAUGCCCAGUUAACCUCAGACUCACAGCUACUCUCCUGCCUUAGCCUCCCAAGUACUGGGACUACAGGCAUGCCCCACUGUGCACAGCUACCAAAAAAUAUGUACUAUCAGUACAUGUUUGCAGUACAUGAUGUUUACACUCAUUGUAGGUACUGGACAUGUGUACUUAACGAUCUUGAUUCUUUUUAUUCUCUUUCCCUUCCCCACCCACCACCCUCUGUCUGUAGAUCCCUUUCCCCAUUUUCAUUUUUUUUUUUUAGUUCAUGUUUGCAGCAUGUAAUAAUUACAUUUAUUGUGGAUAGCUGGUACAUGCACAUGACACAUCUUAAAUCUUUUCAACCCCCCACCCAGUGUCUUGGUCCCUUUCCCAUUUGCAAAAGGUCUAUCUCCCUAUUUUCUUUUACCCAUCUUUUAUUUUGCUCUUUAUUUAUACUUUUUGGAUUUCUCAAAUGAGAGAAACCGCACAGUAUUUAAGCUUGUGUCUGAUUUAUUUCAUUUAAGAUUAUGUUUUCGGAGCCAGGGAUUUAGCUCUAGUGGUUCCGGCACCUGCCUCGGAAGCUCAAGGUCCCAAUUUUGAUCUCCGGUACAAAAAAAAAAAAAAAAAGAUUAUGUUUUCAAAGUGUAUCCAUUUUUCCUACAAAUGUCUCAAAUUUAUUCCUUUUUAUACCCAAGUAGUAUUCUGUUAUGUAUAGAUACCACUUUUCUUCAUCCAUUUGUCUGUUGAUGGAUAUAUAGGCCAC